rnacentral:rRNA from 1 species
GACGAACGCUGGCGGCGUGCUUAACACAUGCAAGUCGAACGGAAAGGCCCUGCUUUUGUGGGGUGCUCGAGUGGCGAACGGGUGAGUAACACGUGAGUAACCUGCCCUUGACUUUGGGAUAACUUCAGGAAACUGGGGCUAAUACCGGAUAGGAGCUCCUGCUGCAUGGUGGGGGUUGGAAAGUUUCGGCGGUUGGGGAUGGACUCGCGGCUUAUCAGCUUGUUGGUGGGGUAGUGGCUUACCAAGGCUUUGACGGGUAGCCGGCCUGAGAGGGUGACCGGCCACAUUGGGACUGAGAUACGGCCCAGACUCCUACGAGAGGCAGCAGUGGGGAAUAUUGCACAAUGGGCGGAAGCCUGAUGCAGCAACGCCGCGUGCGGGAUGACGGCCUUCGGGUUGUAAACCGCUUUCGCCUGUGACGAAGCGUGAGUGACGGUAAUGGGUAAAGAAGCACCGGCUAACUACGUGC